UCUCUAUGAUCCUGUUCAGAUUAGAAAAGGUUUAAUUGAAAACUUAUAGCUUGAAGUUUGGCUAAACAGCACUUUAAGGAUCUGAAGAUGGUGACCAAACAUCGUGAUUUCCUAUUAAAAAAAAAAUCUUAUCUCAAGAUAAUGAGAUGAUUUUUUUCCGUGUUACGUGCGUAAGCUUAUUCCAAGAUGAAAGGGUCUAAGUACACACAGCAGGAUAAUAUUUUAAAAUAUUAACCAAUUUUCCCCCUUUCCUCCUGCCUGUUCUUCCUUUUACCUGUUCACCUCUUUCAAGCUAGGCUGUUCCAAAUUCAUUAUCUCAGGAAGCAGUGACCUAGGGGAAACCUGGAGUUUUUUCCUGGCUUUUGAAUUUCAAAAGUCUUGCCCUGAGAAAAAAUGCAAAGAACUUGUAAGCAUUAUAAAAUAGCUGGCAUUCCUGAGAACUUUCUGUGUUAUAUGUACCAUUUAAAGCAUGCUUGUGUGUGUGUGUGUGUGUGUGUGUGUGUGUGUUUGCUUUUCUCUACAACUCAGUAAGAUAGGUACUCUUAAUACCCCUAUUUUACAGAUGAGAAAACUGAGGUAGAGAGAAAUGGAGUACUUUGCCCAUCAUAGCAUCUCUGGUGAGUAGCAGAAUUGGCUCACUAUUCCAGCAGUGUGUCUCCAGUGCUCACAUUUCAAACCACUGCACCAACCUCCUUGUUAAUGUGCAGGAAGUUCUUGGGAAUGUACUCAGUAUUUCCACCUGUGAAAAGGAAGGGAUUUUUUUUUUUUUUUUUAGCAGCAUUGGAUAGGAGAAGAAGCUGGGCUCUGGGGUGACGCAAGAAAGCCUUUGGCUGACCAGAGAGAUCUGAGGCUGGAGUGACCCUUCAGAGCCAUCUCAAACUGGGGCAACGCAUUUGGGUCUUCAUAUUCCUGCAUGGACCAGUCAUUGGAUGCAGGCUGCCCUGAGACAGGGACCUUCAAAGAAAAUGCAUUUUCUUCACUGAGCUCGCCUAGAACCGUGAGUGAUUAAUCAGCACGGUCCUCUGCCUGGAAGAUGGCUGGGAAUUGGGACAAACAACUGCCUCAUAGGAAACCAAGUACAGUAGACGUGGAUGAAGAAUUGCUGUGCUUGGCAACUGGGAAAGAAUUUGGUUUCUUCUGAAGACCAACAGGGAGAAACUGACUACUGAUUAAAGCUGCGUGACGUACUGCAAUUGCGUUCUCAGGAGGUUGCCCAAAUCUUUUCCUAAUUUAGGUUUGUAUGGGUUUCCCUCCUAGUCAUUCAUUACAUAAAAGCAGUUUGUUUCAAAGACAGACUCGGCAGGCCGGGCACAGUGGCUCAUGCCUGUAAUCCCAGCACUUUGGGAGGCCGAGGCGGGCGAAUCACGAGGUCAGGCAUUCGAGACCAGCCUGGCCAACAUAGUGAAACCCCGUCUCUACUAAAAAUACAAAAAAUUAGCUGGGCGUGGUGGCGGGCACCUGUAAUCCCAGCUACUCAGAAGUCUGAGGCAGGAGAAUUGUUUGAACCUGGGAAGCCAGAGGUUGAAGUGAGCCGAGAUCACGCCACUGCACUCCAGCCCGGGGAACAGUGCAAGACUCCUCUCAAAAAAAAAAAAAAAAAGACAGACUCGGCAAAACUGCUGGGGUCUGCACCUUUGCCCCUGAACAUCAUAAAAUCCCAUCUUGGUGCCAAAAGUGGACGAUGCUUUCAGAGGCUUAGAUGAAGUUUCAUUUUGAAACCUGGUUUUGAAAUGCCUGGGAAUGAUAAGCCAGCUCAGGGCAAAGUUGGGAAAUACUAAUGCUGCUAGCAACUAAGCCAGAUUUUGUUCACAAAAGUUUAGGCCCAGAGGUCUUCCUGGUGAGCAACUUAUCCCUGAAGAGAGAUCAAGCAUUUGCCCAAACUGCAAAAUCUCAAAACAGCAGGAUACGAAGGUUGAUCCACUUGGAAAUCCAGGAAAGCAAGAAGAUCAAGGUCCUGCACAUACAGUGGUUGGCCAGACAUUGGAGCAUCACACUGGGAUUGGUCCCCACUGCUGGAUUCCUUUUUGCCAUGGAUGGAUGGCAGCUUAAGACAUUUGGUGAAGUUGAAGCACCAUGCUGUAAAUUUUUUCUAAAUCCAGGAAUUGGUUCCACUGCCAGCAGGGACUGCUUGGUGAAAGAUGACAAGAGUUAUUGAAAAUGACAGACUGUAUUUUGCAGAACGACCUUGUUUUCUUCUAUUUAUUGCCUAGUAAACGGAAUGUUCGUGGGAAAGAAUUUUUAGGCACCCUCGUGUUUGUCUUUGGAAUAUAUUUUCCUACAUAUGGUAGCACACAGCUUCUCCAUAAAGGAUCGUCAACAGAGAUCAUUUGUUGCAAUUCUAUGGUUACAAGUACGAGGAAAUAGGGACAAAUAUGAUAAAUAUGAGAACUUAAAUAACUUGUUCAAGGUCAUCAGAUUAGUUAGCAGCCAAAGUUAAACCCAAGACUCAAGAUUCCCAGUGAACUGCACAUGUCCCCAUAAGCAAAUACAGACAUUUCAAACCAGAUUUCUCCCACCCUCCCUCCCAAACUCAUUUUUCAUGAAAAUCUUUUUUUUUCUUUCCUGGGACUAAUUACAAACUUAGAGUUCAGGCACUGAGUGAAACCCAACUAUUAUUGCUUCAGGUUCUGUCGGGGUAAAUAUUUAAGGCAGAGAUUUUCUGACUGUGCCCUGUGAAGCCUCCUCAGGAGCCACUGCAUGGUUAUAAUCACAUGUGAGUGUGUGCAUGUGUGUGUGGCUCAUACGCACAUGUAUGUGCAUGUGUAAUGGAGGCAAGGCUUAACAUCUUGUCCCCCAACUUUGAUAAGAUUGACUCUUUGUAACCCACUUACUCUGGUAAGAUUUUGUUGGAAAAACAACAACAAAAAUGCCUAUGAUGUCAGACAUGCCUGGAAACACACAUCAUCAUAUCCCAUCAUUACUUUUCUUUGAGUCCCAGAAGAAAAAAAUUCUAUUUUAAUUGUAAAAUUAUCAUGUACAGUAUAGAGUCCAAUACUGUUGACAGUUUAUCACUUUGGGCUUUCUGGUUUUCAUGCUCCAUUCAUUAUUUAUUGGCUGGUUUUUAUUUGUUGGCUUGCUUUCUGUUUAAUGAUCAGUGUGGCUAGCAGACAUUUUAUAUGUAGUAUCAUUUUUUUCAUAUGCAUACUUGAAAAUCAAAACUUUACAAUAGAACAAUAUGCUGAUGCACCAAAUUGAUCAGUUUGGGCCACAAGCUUGGAUCUUUCCAAAAGAAUACAGAUGCUCCUUGACUUGUGAUUGGUUACGUCCCAAUAAACCCAUCGCUUCAUAAAUUGAAAAUGCAUUUAAUAUACCCAACCUACUGAUCAUAACUGCUUAGCCUAGCCUCCCUUAAGCAUGCUCAAACACUUAUAUUAGCCUACAGUUGGGCAAAAACAUCUGGCAACACAGUCCACUGUAGAGUAUCAGGUGUUUCACCUUGUGUUCACAAGGCUGACUGGGCCAUGUGCUCACUACCUCUGCCCAGUAUUUUGAGAUAGUGUCAUACCACAUAUUGCUAUCCAAAGAAAAGAUCAAAAUCCAAAAUUCGAAAAUCAGUUUCUACUGAAAGAUUAUUGCCUUCACACCAUUGUGAAGUCAAAAAACCAAAGCCCAACCAUCGUAAGUUGGGGGUCAUCUGCACAACUGAUAAAGGCACAUCAGAAUAUUACUUUUGAUAAUAAAUGUACAAACUGUAGUAUCCCCACAGCCUGGUAUGUAGACCUGAAAUACUGUGGGGGCAUCCCCUCUCCUCCCUUCCACACCCACAACACAGGUUUUGUCCUGAAAGCAGGACAUUUGGUGGAAUAGAAAACGUAGAAAGUGUUAAACUUCAGACUUAGCUGUGAAUUCAGAUGGAAAUGAUUUGGUAGCUGUGGCUUACUCACAAGUAAAUAAUAUACCUGAAGGUAUCUGAAAAUUAUCUUUCUUUCAUGAGCGUACAGUUUUGCUGGCUUUGCCUCAAGGCAAAUAACCACGGGAGAGUUAAUACAGAAAGUUCUUAUUAGAAAUUCCUUAUAACCAGGGUAGACUAAUUAGCUCUUCCUAAGAGUUCAUUUUGAGGUUGGAGAAAGCAUGAAAGCAGUGGAAACUGGCAUGGGAGAUGGAAUGUCACUGGGGGCACAAACAGAAUCACGUGGUGGUAUGCAAGGGAAAGAUGCUGAAGACCAGCUCUACCUAUGUUAUAAACUAAAAAGAAGCAGGGGGAGCUAAAAUUUGGAAUCUAAAGCUAUUAUUUUUCUGACUUAUCCAGUGCAAAUAACCCAAUACAGACAUAUAAUAUAUGCUACAGGUUUUUAAAGGCAAAAUUGUCUUACUCCUUUCUGCAUAUCCAAUGCCUAAUAUAGAACCUGACACACUGUAAUUCCUCCUUAAAUGUUUAUUGUUUUUAGUAAAUAAGUGAGUAUUUAACACACACCCGUGUAUAUGUGUUUCUCUACCAGAGAAAAUAAUUUCUUGUUUCUUAGAUUGAUGUAUUCCAUGGUAGUACAUAGGAAAUUAGAUGCCCUUUUCAUCUAAUAUGCAUGCAAUUGACCAUUCUGAACUAAGAAAUUGGACUUCUUUGAAUUCUGAUGCUCUCAGACAAAAAUAGAGAUAAAUGUUUAACCAUCCUUCUCUGUGCCCUCAUGGAACUGUGUGGCCUCCUUGGGCUGGCUCAUUUAACAUUGAAUGUAUAAGUUAGAGUCCUCAUCUGUCAGUAACAGAAGACGGUAGAGUUAGUACAAAAAAAUUCUUCCUCACCUGUAAUGUAAAGCAAAACAAAAAUAUGCAAGAAUAUUUUGAGAUAUCAGGUCUAUAAAACCGUUGACAUAUGCAUAC